AACUCUUUCCUUAUCUAAAGUCUUAGAUAGAUUCUCUAAUCCAUUUACAUUGUUUUGUAGGAUACAAAUAAAAGUAGGAAACUAUGCCUACACAUCCUAGGAAGAUUGCCAAUCAAGGAAGCACAAAGGANGCAAGUAGGAGUGCAUUGUGCAGCCAACCAUGUAGNUGAUUUGAAGCAUGUUUUCUACAAUCCAGCUGCCACGUUUUCCAUAUUUUCCAUGUGCAAAACAGCCAGCCGUGGCUUCCCCUUGUUGCAGCACAUUCUCC
rnacentral:lncRNA from 1 species